rnacentral:rRNA from 1 species
UACGUAUGGUGCAAGCGUUAUCCGGAUUUACUGGGCGUAAAGGGAGCGCAGGCGGUGCGCCAAGUCUGAUGUGAAACCCCGGGGCUCAACCCCGGGCAUGCAUUGGAAACUGGCGGGCUGGAGUGCCGGAGAGGUAAGCGGAAUUCCUAGUGUAGCGGUGAAAUGCGUAGAUAUUAGGAGGAACCCCAGUGGCGAAGGCGGCUUACUGGACGGCAACUGACGCUGAGGCUCGAAAGCGUGGGGAGCAAACAGG